rnacentral:rRNA from 1 species
GAUCCUACGGGGGGCAGCAGUGGGGGAUAUUGCACAAUGGGGGGAACCCUGAUGCAGCGACGCCGCGUGGGUGAAGGAGUGCUUCGGCAUGUAAAGCCCUAUCGGCAGGGACGAAGCAAGACGGUACCUUACUAAGAAGCCCCGGCUAACUACGUGCCAGCAGCCGCGGUAAUACGUAGGGGGCGAGCGUUAUCCGGAUUCCCUGGGUGUAAAGGGAGCGUAGACGGCCAUGCCAGCCAGGG